UACGAAGGGGGCUAGCGUUGUUCGGAAUUACUGGGCGUAAAGCGCACGUAGGCGGCUUUGUAAGUCAGGGGUGAAAUCCCGGGGCUCAACCUCGGAACUGCCUUUGAUACUGCAAGUCUCGAGUCCGAUAGAGGUGAGUGGAAUUCCUAGUGUAGAGGUGAAAUUCGUAGAUAUUAGGAAGAACACCAGUGGCGAAGGCGGCUCACUGGACUGGUAUUGACGCUGAGGUGCGAAAGCGUGGGGAGCAAACAGG
rnacentral:rRNA from 1 species